CUUCCUCUGCUGCUAUGGAGUAGCAGUCUGUUGAGCUCCUUUAAUCUUCAGACUAGAAACAGCAUUUGUAUAUUUUAAUAGCUAAGACAUUUUUUUCCCCCUCACACACUCUUCCUUAUGGCCUUGUCACUAGGGAAAAAAUGGUGUUAGCCAAUACGUUUAAAAUUCUAUUGAAUGCAAUGCAGUUUUCAUGUGUGUUAGAUUACAAACUGUGUUGUCUUCACUAGGAUUUUAGCAUAUGUUAGGUGUGCUUUUACCUCAGGUUAGCUUUUUUCUUAGUGUGGAUGCACCUCUGUGUUGUGAAGAAUCAUUCCUACCCUAUCCUAGGAAAAUAUGUGAUAAUCUCUGUCUUUGGUUUGUUUAGAAUCCUGAAUUCACUUAUAGAAUUAGUCUGUACCGUGGACUGUCUUAUUGUUCUGUGUUUUUAUAGCCCCUAGCACAGUGGAGUCCGGAUCCAUGGCUCAGGCUUCUAGGUGUGACAAUAAUACAAAUAAAUAAAUAUGUAACUUCAGUUCCCUCUAUCUGUACCACCAAGCCCACAAGGGUUACUGUAAACGUAAAUGCGGACAGUCCUUUAUAAUUUCUCUGACGCACAGUCGGUACUAAGAGGCUUGGGUUGAUCUGUUUUAGUGCUGUGUUCUGGUAAACAAAGGGACUGUAAUUUCAUCUGCUUUCUCUCAAGAAGUCUUUACUCUGUAUCAAAAUGUUAACACAAUAGCUAACAAACAAUGACAAGGUUGCACUUAACAACAGUUGUAUAGUGUUUCAGUAACUUUUUGGAAAGCUCUUCUGUUUCUGUAUUUGCAUGAGUAUCAGCAUUAUAUUACGAGACUUGCAUAUGAUGCUUUUAUAUGAGCUCAACAUAUCUUGCUAAUAGGAUGAAGAGGCCCACAAUUCAAGGAGAAUGGAAAGCUGGAGUCAUUAGUUACAUGAUGGGAGUUGGGAAUGGUGUCUGCCUCUUUGGAGGCUACCAUUUUAUAUAUACUUCCUAUCAAGAGCUUCAGCCUGAUACAGUUGGAUUGACAAAUCUGAUCCUGUUUGAGAACACUGAAAGAAAGAUGAUCAAAGCUUUUAUAAGGUAUGCUAAAUUAACUGAUAUGACCCACAAAAAGGAAGGGGAAGAAUGGGGUUAGUGCCCUUUUAUGGUAGAUAAGGCUUGAAAUGGUGUGCAUGUUCUUCUUAAAAAUUCUGCUUGGUUGGUUACUCUGGAGUUAACAGGUAUAUCAAGUUUUGUCUUCCUUGAUUUUGCUCUAGGUCUCGUUGGCUGUGUUUAGAUAUAGAUUAUUAACGUUCUCAUCCCUUAAUUGAAAGGCCUGGAUUAAAGUGUCUUCUAAAUAUUUUGCAGACAUAGAAUUUAAAUGUGCAAGUUAAAAAAAAAAGAUUGAAAUAGUCUGAAUAAAAAUCACUUCAUUUUUCAGUUAAUCAGGGUUUACAUUUCUUCAUCCAAAUCAUAUCAAUUCUUCAGUUAUCCAUAGAGUCUUGUAGGGAAAUCAGGAUAGACAAGACCUGAAGUUCUACUCUGCUUAAAAGAAAAAAGUUAUUUUAGUUUUUGAAAACCAAAAUAACUUUUCAGGUCUUCCUUAUACGUAUAAAGAAACAAAGGCAUAAAUCUAUAUUUUCUUUUGUAGAUCACCACCUUUUAACUUCUUCAAAAUUGAACUUCAUCCAAGUUUAAACAACCAACCAACCAACCAUGUAGAGCAAAAAAGUUCACCAUCUGCCCUUAAUUUUAUGGUUAAAAUAUAGAUAGCCUUUCCCAUAUUCAAAGACUGUCUUACUUGGGUAGCUCAGAAAUGCAUCUUCUGAAUUGAGUUGUCCUUGCAACAUAGUAUAUUUAUCAUAUCUUAUAUUUAUCUCUUUCUUUGCUUCUAUAAUUUGUGAAACUUCUUCUCUAUAUAUCUGGUUUAACACAAAAGGAUAAUCUGUGUAUGGUUAUUUGUUACACUUUUUUUUUUUUAAGAAAGACAAAUUCCAGUUGUAUCUUGAAUAAACUUGGGUUUUGGAAUGCUGUGUUUAUCCCACUCAGUAUAUUAAUGCUUAUGCAACUUUUUUCUGAUUAAUCCUGAGAUCCUUUAACCAAACCCACCAUUUCCUCAGAUACAGCCAGUAUGAAUUUGUGGCAUUUUCUUAAGUUUCAUCUUUCCAUGCAAUAAACUAUUAAUUACAGCUUCCUACAGUUUUUCAGACUCUCCAGUUCAGUUGUCAGUGUCACACUCAUGGUCAUUAGCCACUCCAGACUCUGCCAGCUACAGGGCAGAAACCCCAAACUGGUUGUAUGUUCUAUUAUUAGAUUGCACCAACUCAGUAACAGAUGUGAAGUCCUAAAGCACUAUAACAGUCUUACCACAGAGUAACAGACAGACUGGAAUGCCCAAGGGGACUGUCUUGCCACCCAGGCAAGCUGAACUGUAGAUGGUCAGUUUACACCAAAAAUCACAACAGUAUUCAGGUUACUCCCAGUUCCAAAGAACCAGUCACUUACCACAGGUCAGUUGUACUCGGAUCUCAAACCCAAGACACAGCCUGUAGCCAAUCCUGUUAUAAACUAACUAAAGACUUAUUGACUAA